rnacentral:rRNA from 1 species
GACGAACGCUGGCGGCGUGCCUAAUACAUGCAAGUCGAACGCCGACGAGAGGAGCUUGCUCUCCUUGGAUGAGUUGCGAACGGGUGAGUAACGCGUAGGUAACCUGCCUUGUAGCGGGGGAUAACUAUUGGAAACGAUAGCUAAUACCGCAUAACAAUGGAUGACACAUGUAAUUUAUUUCAUAGGGGCAAUUGCUCCACCACAAGAUGGACCUGCGUUGUAUUAGCUAGUAGGUGAGGUAAUGGCUCACCUAGGCGACGGUACAUAGCCGAGCUGAGAGGGUGAGCGGCGCCACAGGGACAGGGACACGGCCCAGACUCCUACGGGGGGCAGCAGUAGGGAAACUUCGGCAAAGGGGGCAAACCUUGCCGCGCAACGCCGCGUGAGUGAAGAAGGUUUUCGGAUCUUAAAGCUCUGUUGUAAGUGGAGGAAGGGUGUGGGGGUAAAAAGUUCACACUGUGACGGUAGCUGACCAAUAAGCGACGGCUAACUACGUG